rnacentral:rRNA from 1 species
AACGUAGGGCGCAAGCGUUGUCCGGAAUUACUGGGUGUAAAGGGAGCGCAGGCGGAUUGACAAGUUGGGAGUGAAAACUACGGGCUCAACCCGUAACCUGCUUUCAAAACUGUCAGUCUUGAGUGGUGUAGAGGUAGGCGGAAUUCCCGGUGUAGCGGUGGAAUGCGUAGAUAUCGGGAGGAACACCAGUGGCGAAGGCGGCCUACUGGGCACUAACUGACGCUGAGGCUCGAAAGCAUGGGUAGCAAACAGG